GCCGAGGUGGUGAAAUUGGUAGACACGCAUGCUUCAGGUGCAUGUGGGGGCAACCCCGUGGAGGUUCAAUUCCUCUCCUCGGCACCA
rnacentral:tRNA from 1 species